AGGGUUUGAUUAUGGCUCAGGACGAACGCUGGCGGCGUGCCUAACACAUGCAAGUCGAGCGGAGCGAUUCAAGCGGAAGUUUUCGGAUGGAAGCAGGGAGAGCUUAGCGGCGGACGGGUGAGUAACGCGUGGGCAAUCUGCCUUUUACAGGGGGAUAACACAGGGAAACUUGUGCUAAUACCGCAUAAAGCUGCACUGUGGCAUCACAGAGUAGCCAAAGGAGGAAUCCGGUGAAAGAGGAGCCCGCGUCUGAUUAGCUAGUUGGUGAGGUAACGGCCCACCAAGGCGACGAUCAGUAGCCGAACUGAGAGGUUGAUCGGCCACAUUGGGACUGAGACACGGCCCAG
rnacentral:rRNA from 1 species